rnacentral:lncRNA from 10 species
CCGGAAGUGCCUACAACUACCUAGAACGAUUGGACCUACAGUUCCCAGGAUUCCGCAGGGGAAACAUUUACAGCCUUACUGCAGCUGAGCUAUGCGCGACUACACGGAACUCCGGACUACAUAUCACAGAAUGCUGGAGUUGGGGGAAAAACAGAACAGUACCGCCCUCCUGGACUACACUUCCGGAAUGUCCAAGCCUUCUGAUGUGGAAGUGUCCAACUACCUUGAGCUCCUGGUUUUCAUUUCCCAGAAUCCCUCACUUCUCUUUAGGACAUAGCAUCUGUCUCCUCCAGAGGAUGCAGCAACUGGAUGCCAUAUUGGAAGCAGACAGCAGCAGCCCUCACCAGAUGUUAAACCUGCCAGCAUCUUGACCUUGGACUUCCCAGCCUCAAGCACUAUGACAGAUAAAUUUAUAUUGUUUAUAAAUUACCUAAUCUGUGGUAUUCUGUUAUAGCAGCGCAAGAUAUAAGGUUAGCCCUUGACUGGUAUCUGGGAACUUGAAUUUCAGGAGGAUUUCCACAAUUCUCUGAUGAGAGUGGCUCACCAUGCCCCGGCUAUUUGUAUAAUGUGAUUUAUGCUGAAUUCCUUCUGGGAAUCUAGAAUUUUGGCCCAAGCUGGCCUAUGUGACCAGUUCCAAAACAAAACACAACGUAGUGCCUAGGGCACUAAGUCUCCAUUGAGCUUACUGGGUAGACAUUUCACAUGUUUCAAUGCUGAAAAAACAGUACAUCAUGAAUGAUUCUACAGGGAGUGGAUUAUUGGAAGCCUGUACCUGAUUUCUUCUGGACUUCAUCCCAUGCACAUUUUCCCUUUGCUCAACUGACUUGGUAUCUUUUACUACAAUAAAUCAUAGUGACU